UACGAAGGGGGCUAGCGUUGUUCGGAAUCACUGGGCGUAAAGGGCGCGUAGGCGGCCGCUCAAGUCGGGGGUGAAAGCCUGUGGCUUAACCACAGAAUUGCCUUCGAUACUGUUUGGCUUGAGACCGGAAGAGGUGAGUGGAACUGCGAGUGUAGAGGUGAAAUUCGUAGAUAUUGGGAAGAACACCGAUGGCGAAGGCAGCCAUCUGGACCGACACUGACGCUGAGGCGCGAAAGCGUGGGGAGCAAACAGG
rnacentral:rRNA from 1 species